ACCUUAAGCUGGCGGCGUGCUUAACACAUGCAAGUCGAACGAUGAACCUGGGAGCUUGCUCUAGGGGAUUAGUGGCGAACGGGUGAGUAACACGUGAGUAACCUGCCCUUGACUCUGGGAUAACCUCCGGAAACGGAAGCUAAUACCGGAUAUGACGUACGGAGGCAUCUCCUGUACGUGGAAAGAAUUUCGGUCAAGGAUGGACUCGCGGCCUAUCAGGUAGUUGGUGAGGUAACGGCUCACCAAGCCUACGACGGGUAGCCGGCCUGAGAGGGUGACCGGCCACACUGGGACUGAGACACGGCCCAGACUCCUACGGGAGGCAGCAGUGGGGAAUAUUGCACAAUGGGCGCAAGCCUGAUGCAGCAACGCCGCGUGAGGGAUGACGGCCUUCGGGUUGUAAACCUCUUUUAGUAGGGAAGAAGCGAAAGUGACGGUACCUGCAGAAAAAGCACCGGCUAACUACGUGCCAGCAGCCGCGGUAAUACGUAGGGUGCGAGCGUUGUCCGGAAUUAUUGGGCGUAAAGAGCUCGUAGGCGGUCUGUCGCGUCUGCUGUGAAAACCCGAGGCUCAACCUCGGGCCUGCAGUGGGUACGGGCAGACUAGAGUGCGGUAGGGGAGAAUGGAAUUCCUGGUGUAGCGGUGGAAUGCGCAGAUAUCAGGAGGAACACCGAUGGCGAAGGCAGUUCUCUGGGCCGUAACUGACGCUGAGGAGCGAAAGCGUGGGGAGCGAACAGGAUUAGAUACCCUGGUAGUCCACGCCGUAAACGUUGGGCGCUAGAUGUGGGGACCAUUCCCACGGUUUCCGUGUCGCAGCUAACGCAUUAAGCGCCCCGCCUGGGAGUACGCCGCC
rnacentral:rRNA from 1 species